UCGGCUGGCAGGGGCAGAGCUGGCUGCAGGCCCGGCCCCUCUCAGCUGCUGCCCUCUCCAG
ensembl:miRNA